rnacentral:rRNA from 1 species
GACGAACGCUGGCGGCGUGCUUAACACAUGCAAGUCGAACGGAAAGGCCCUGCUUUCGUGGGGUGCUCGAGUGGCGAACGGGUGCGUAACACGUGAGUAACCUGAUCUUGACUUUGGGAUAACUUCAGGAAACUGGGGCUAAUCCCGGAUAGGAGCUCCCGCUGCAUGGAGGGGGUGGGAAAGUUUCGGCGGUUGGGGAUGGACUCGCGGCUUAUCAGCUUGUUGGUGGGGUAGUGGCUUACCCAGGCUUUGACGGGUACCCGGCCUGUGAGGGUGACCGGCCACAUUGGGACUGAGAUACGGCCCAGACUCCUACGGGAGGCAGCAGUGGGGAAUAUUGCACAAUGGGCGGAAGCCGGAUGCAGCAACGCCGCGUGCGGGAUGACGGCCUUCGGGUUGUAAACCGCUUUCGCCUGUGACGAAGCGUGAGUGACGGUAAUGGGUAAAGAAGCACCGGCUAACUACGUG